CCUACGGGCGGCAGCAGUGGGGAAUAUUGGACAAUGGGGGGAACCCUGAUCCAGCCAUGCCGCGUGUGUGAAGAAGGCCCUCGGGUUGUAAAGCACUUUCAGUGAGGAAGAACGCCUGGUGGUUAAUACCCAUCAGGAAAGACAUCACUCACAGAAGAAGCACCGGCUAACUCCGUGCCAGCAGCCGCGGUAAUACGGAGGGUGCGAGCGUUAAUCGGAAUUACUGGGCGUAAAGCGCGCGUAGAUGGCUUGAUAAGCCGGUUGUGAAAGCCCCGGGCUCAACCUGGGAACGGCAUCCGGAACUGUCAAGCUAGAGUGCAGGAGAGGAAGGUAGAAUUCCCGGUGUAGCGGUGAAAUGCGUAGAGAUCGGGAGGAAUACCAGUGGCGAAGGCGGCCUUCUGGACUGACACUGACACUGAGGUGCGAAAGCGUGGGUAGCAAACAGGAUUAGAUACCCGAGUAGUC
rnacentral:rRNA from 1 species